UUGAUUUGCAGACAACUAUGUGUCUGCAGUGCUAGCGUUUUAGUCAGGCGCAACAUAGACACCUGCGCCACCUGCGCGUCGGUGCGCAAGUGCACGACGUCGUCACUCACUGUAAACAAUGAUGAGCCAUUUGACAUGUCACAAAAAAGGAUAUAUCCCUCUGGGGCCGAAAAGAGAACAAAGAAAAGGACCGAGGAUGAGAAAAAAAGAGCAAGAUAAAGGAACACUGUUGAAGUACUUUGGAGCACAACCAACUCUACCCGCCCCUGAUGUGUCAUCAAGUGUCAGUGCCUCCACAGCUGAUGAUGCAGCAGAUGAGGUUUUUCUUGUUGGCCAAUGUUAACAUUCCAUAGCCUGUUAAAAUGACAUGACACAUUGAAGAAUAAAGUAUUUUAUUUAA